UACGGCUCAGUAACACGUGGAUAACCUGCCCUUGGGUCCGGCAUAACCCCGGGAAACUGGGGAUAAUUCCGGAUAACGCACAUAUGCUGGAAUGCUUUAUGCGUAAAAUGGAUUCGUCUGCCCAAGGAUGGGUCUGCGGCCUAUCAGGUAGUAGUGGGUGUAAUGUACCUACUAGCCGACGACGGGUACGGGUUGUGAGAGCAAGAGCCCGGAGAUGGAUUCUGAGACAUGAAUCCAGGCCCUACGGGGCGCAGCAGGCGCGAAAACUUUACAAUGCGGGAAACCGUGAUAAGGGGACACCGAGUGCCAGCAUCAUAUGCUGGCUGUCCAGGUGUGUAAAAUACACCUGUCAGCAAGGGCCGGGCAAGACCGGUGCCAGCCGCCGCGGUAACACCGGCGGCCCGAGUGGUGAUCGUGAUUAUUGGGUCUAAAGGGUCCGUAGCCGGUUUGGUCAGUCCUCCGGGAAAUCUGACGGCUCAACCGUUAGGCUUUCGGGGGAUACUGCCAGGCUUGGAACCGGGAGAGGUAAGAGGUACUACAGGGGUAGGAGUGAAAUCUUGUAAUCCCUGUGGGACCACCUGUGGCGAAGGCGUCUUACCAGAACGGGUUCGACGGUGAGGGACGAAAGCUGGGGGCACGAACCGGAUUAGAUACCCGGGUAGUCCCAGCCGUAAACGAUGCUCGCUAGGUGUCAGGCAUGGCGCGACCGUGUCUGGUGCCGCAGGGAAGCCGUGAAGCGAGCCACCUGGGAAGUACGGCCGCAAGGCUGAAACUUAAAGGAAUUGGCGGGGGAGCACA
rnacentral:rRNA from 1 species